ACACGUGGGUAACCUGCCCAUCAGAGGGGGAUAACAUUCGGAAACGGAUGCUAAAACCGCAUAGGUCCUUUAACCGCAUGGUUGAAGGAGGAAAAGAGGCGCAAGCUUCUGCUGAUGGAUGGACCCGCGGUGCAUUAGCUAGUUGGUGAGGUAACGGCUCACCAAGGCCGUGAUGCAUAGCCGACCUGAGAGGGUGAUCGGCCACAUUGGGACUGAGACACGGCCCAA
rnacentral:rRNA from 1 species